rnacentral:rRNA from 1 species
UCUCUAUGCGGUGUCAGCAGCCGCGGUAAUACGUAGGGUGCGAGCGUUAAUCGGAAUUACUGGGCGUAAAGCGUGCGCAGGCUGUUUUGUAAGUCAGAUGUGAAAUCCCCGAGCUCAACUUGGGAACUGCGUUUGAAACUACAAGACUAGAAUAUGUCAGAGGGGGGUAGAAUUCCACGUGUAGCAGUGAAAUGCGUAGAGAUGUGGAGGAAUACCAAUGGCGAAGGCAGCCCCCUGGGAUAAUAUUGACGCUCAUGCACGAAAGCGUGGGGAGCAAACAGGAUUAGAUACCCUGGUAGUCCACGCCCUAAACGAUGUCUACUAGUUGUUGGUGGAGUAAAAUCCAUGAGUAACGCAGCUAACGCGUGAAGUAGACCGCCUGGGGAGUACGGUCGCAAGAUUAAAACUCAAA